rnacentral:rRNA from 1 species
UGGGGAAUCUUCCGCAAUGGACGAAAGUCUGACGGAGCAACGCCGCGUGAGUGAAGACGGCCUUCGGGUUGUAAAGCUCUGUGAUUCGGGACGAAAGGCCAUAUGUGAAUAAUAUAUGGAAAUGACGGUACCGAAAAAGCAAGCCACGGCUAACUACGUGCCAGCAGCCGCGGUAAUACGUAGGUGGCAAGCGUUGUCCGGAAUUAUUGGGCGUAAAGCGCGCGCAGGCGGUCACUUAAGUCCAUCUUAGAAGUGCGGGGCUUAACCCCGUGAUGGGAUGGAAACUGGGAGACUGGAGUAUCGGAGAGGAAAGUGGAAUUCCUAGUGUAGCGGUGAAAUGCGUAGAUAUUAGGAAGAACACCGGUGGCGAAGGCGACUUUCUGGACGAAAACUGACGCUGAGGCGCGAAAGCGUGGGAGCAAACAGG